rnacentral:rRNA from 1 species
GAGUUUGAUCCUGGCUCAGAUUGAACGCUGGCGGCAUGCCUUACACAUGCAAGUCGAACGGCAGCACGGGAGCUUGCUCCUGGUGGCGAGUGGCGAACGGGUGAGUAAUGCAUCGGAACGUAUCCUGGAGUGGGGGAUAACGUAGCGAAAGUUACGCUAAUACCGCAUAUUCUGUGAGCAGGAAAGCGGGGGACCUUCGGGCCUCGCGCUCUUGGAGCGGCCGAUGUCGGAUUAGCUAGUUGGUGAGGUAAAGGCUCACCAAGGCGACGAUCCGUAGCAGGUCUGAGAGGAUGAUCUGGCCACACUGGAACUGAGACACGGUCCAGACUCCUACGGGAGGCAGCAGUGGGGAAUUUUGGACAAUGGGGGCAACCCUGAUCCAGCCAUGCCGCGUGAGUGAAGAAGGCCUC